GAUUGUCCACGGAAGCAUGGUUGGUUGAUUUAUCAGACAAAUAUGCUCCCUUACUUCGCCAAAUCAUUUCUGAUUCAGCAGCAAUAAGCAUAUAAGUCAAGUCAAUGAGGGUUGCGUCAAGUUUCAUCAUAUGAUACUCUCUAAUGAACUUAUCAUAUGAUUCAGGGAGUGACUGAAGAACCCAGUCCACAGCCAACUUAUUUGAGAUAGACGCACCCAACAUGAUCAACCUAUCAAUGUGUGAUUUCAUCCCUAGGAUGUGAGCACACACGGGUUUGCCAUCUUGAUGUUCCAUUUCCAAUAGGGAUUCGGUGAUCUUGAACCUUUCAAGUCUUCGAUCAUUAGGGCUAGGGAGAACAACGGGAGGAAGAGGAGGAAGUGAAAUUAAGCUAGUCCACAUUGAUCUCUCACUUUGAAUCAAGCUUUCACUUUCAUUAGGAACACUUUUUCCUUGGGAUUCGGGAAUACCACGGUUAGACAUCUACAAAACGGGAGAAAAUUCAAGUUAAGUUGAUUAGAGUCCUUAAUAAAACACCCAAAUGAGUUAUUAAGGCUAGGAUCCAACACAAUAUUCUACAACCUAGAAAAGGGAUGCCGUAAUCUAGUUGCAAAAUAUUUGAAGGUAGGUAAAUGACGAUUUACCAAUUUCCACCAUGAAAAACGAAAGGAAGUUUAAGUUUUAAAUGAAUUGAAACUCCUAGAUCUUUUGAGAUUCAUUGAACUUUUCAAUGGCAUGUUUAAUCUCGAUUAUGCCCUACUAUUUGUGACUGGGAUGCCGAGGAUCACAAACAAGGUGUGAAUAACCAUACGAAUCACGUGGUGCACCCAAUGCUACAAUCACCUAAUCAAUGUGCCGGUUAGCCACACACGCUCCAUUGAUCUAUGACAAACAUCGAGUCACCCUUCGCUACCAAUGUCAUCCCCAAAUUAGUGUGCCGGUUAACCACACACGCUCCACUAACGUUUGACAAGGGUACGAAGUGUAAUUCCAUGGGUUAGCAUACAAUUUCACAUUUUGCCUAAAGUAACUAUGAUUUGGGAAUUUGAAAAAGCAUUUAGUUACUUUGUACUUCAUUAUACUUAUAAUGGAAGGUUUCUGUCCUAUCCUACCCGUUCGGCUAACGACCCUCCACUAGUCAAGAGUGCGGUGGGUAAGAGUGGAUACCCAUUCAAUCGCCAUUUUAUAGGCAAUUUCCUUAAACACCCCUUAUAGACCAGCUUCGUGAAUGAGGCCUACUAACGGUAAGACUGACUGUUUACUCAUACAUAUAUAAUAUUAGACUUUUAAUGUCAUAUAUAGUAUAGGGUGUAUUUUACACUUUUAAAAUACUAGGUGGUUUAAAUUAGUCUUUUAAUUAACCAAAAUCAUUAUGGAUUUAUUAAAUCUCUUUUAAUUAUACACUUAAUUAAUUUAAUAAAACCAUAAGGGUUUAAUUUGAACUUUUCAAAAUCAGGGUUUUGGAUUUUAGACUUUCAAAAUUAACUUUUAAUCAACAAUUUAAAUUCCAAAACUUGAGGGCAAGUUUUGAAACUCUUCAAAACAAUUAGGUUUUAAUCUCACUUAAAAUUUUGAAUUUGAGACAUUUAAAUUAAAAUUUUAAAUAUUAAAACUGUUGAUUUAAUAAUUACCAUAAAUUAAACAAUUAAUUUAAAUUAUUAAAUCACAAGGGAUUAUCUAGAUCAUGAGGAUAAUUACCAAUUAUACAUCUAAGAUAUCCAAAUCCCUUGAAUCCCUCUCUAAAUCUCGAAAAUAAGGGAUGGGAUAAUUCAAGAUCUUUAAUUACCAUAUUUAACAAUUAAAAGAUAAUUACAAGAUAUGGGAUUAUCCAAAUCCCUAAAAUUUAGGAUCUAACCUUGGGGAAGGAGGUAAUUUCGAAAUCCAAGGGUUGGAAAACCCUAGAUUUCAAAAUCUUGGAGGCUAAGGAAAGGAUUUGGGAAACCCUAGCAAAAAUCGCCAUCUAGGGUUUAGCAACCCUAAUUGCGAAAAAUACCUAGCCUUUAGGGUUCAUUAGCCAUAAACCCUAAUAUGUCAAGUUCAUAAAUUUGAAUAAAAGCUAAUUGAAAACAAAAACCAAUGGCUCUGAUACCACUGAUGGGUUUAAUACAAACAAUCCUAUGUGUGCAUGCAACCCUAGUAUUGGAUCUAUGUUUUCACUAUUAGUUAUACAGCUUUAUGAACACAAAAAGAAACCUGGCAUGCUACUAUAAUUUUCGAAAUUCAUAUAUAAAGCUAGAAUACAUACCUUUUGUUGUUAUAUAGCAAUAACAACUAGUUCCUUGAAUUUCCUUAGCUCUUGAAAGCAAGUACCACAAGUGUAGUACCUCUAAUGGAGUCACAAACACCAUAUGCAACUUGGAUGAAGAGGAGAAGAAAAGGAGGCACCAAAAACGGCUGGAAACCCUAAUGGAAGUCUUGUUCACGUUUUUGGGGCAUAGGGGCCCUUUAUAUACAUGUAGGCUAUUAGGGUUUACAACUAGGAAACCCUAAUUUGACUGCUUAGGCCCUAAGCAGCCCAUGGACUCCUUAAACAUAUCCCUUGGACGAUUUCUAAUGGGCUUCCCAUAGAAUUCGUCCAACCUAUAUAUUAUUAGGUGAUCCAUAGCCCAAUUAUAAUUAUCUUAUAAUUACAACUUCAGUCCCCUAAGUUUAAUUAAUCUCUUUUAGCCACAAAAUUAAUUAACAAUUAAUUCUUGACUAAUAUUAAUUAAACAAUAUGAUUUCUCCUUUAAUAUAUUAUUCUCAUAAUAUAUUAAUAAAUCAUAUUUAAACCUUUCUCUCCUUAAAUCAUCCUACAUAUUGCUAUGGUGAAGGCAACCCAAAAGGACCAUGCUCAUAAUCGGGUCAAGUACAUACCAAAAUAGUUAUGGACUUAGACACUAAUCCAACAGUCUCCCACUUGGAUAAGUCUAAUAACUAUUUUCCGUAUGACUUCAGAACCUGAUCAGCAAUCGUAGCUUUCAAAAGCCGCUGUCAACUCUGAUCUUAUCAGAUAGCGUGUCCUCUAGAUAAGGGAUUAUAUAUUCCUCCAUUCUCAAGAUAUCGUAUAGACAAAAGACAUGAAUUUCAAUCAUUCUCUCUAUACUGUUUCCCGACUUCCGAUUUAUGACGACUGAUAACAGACUACAAUUGAACACAUCAACUUAGUCCCGGCUUGGCCAAGCGCUUAGGUGUCAUCACUAAAUCAUCGAGAGGCCCACAGAUAUCGCUUUUAUCCCACUUUGGGUAAAAGGAAUGGAUAAACUUCGACUCAAAUGCUCGCUUGCAUUUACUGAUCGAAUCACACACAACAAUAAGUUUUAUAACACCAAGUUACUGGUGCGUUUACUUAUUAUCAAUGUGCAACCGACCAACAAAUAACAACUCACACGUCUCGGUUUCAAGAAUAUACAAUAUUAUCGUCUCACUAAUCACUCGUGAUAAAACCAUGAAGUGAUCCAAGUGAGCGUGGGUUUAAUCCAAUACUCUAAUCUUAUCAAAGCACUCAUGAACUCUGCAGCAAACUUGUGCUAUGUCUAAACACUUCAGACAAUCUACAGACAGAUUCAUGACAGUCUUUAUUCAUACCUACUCCCAACGUAUGACCGACUGUGGAUGUUUGAAUAACCUAGUUAUUCUGGAAGUCAAAACAUGCAAAUUGAAACAUAACAAUAAUACUUAAUCCUAUAUGGCCUCAAACUUGUGAGAGUAAAUAAAACACUUCUAUUUAACCACCAUAUUGAUUACUCAUUAUUAUCGUUUACUGUUUCAGAAAAUCAACUUAUUACUCAAAUUACAACAAUAGCUGUCCCAUGCAUAAAGCAUGCACACUAUGUUUCCUAUGGUCCUUACUUUGUGAAAUAGAUCAAUUGAAAAACCUUUUCAAUGAUGCUCAUUUCACAAUUCCCAAUCCUUAUCAUUAGUGUAAGAACACAAGGUUCUUUGCUACUAUUAGAAUAUGCUAGAUUCUAACAUCUUAUGCAACGAUCCUUUCAUAAAGUCAUAGCACAAAAGUCACCAAGACUUGGCUAAUGAAAUUACAAAGUACUCUCUCAGAAAUUGUUACAAGACAAUUCCAUAGACGUGAAGUCUCACAUUCAAAGUACAUUCCUUUGAACAUCCUUCUUGCAUAAAAGUUUCUAAUCUAGACAUAGAUUCUCAAUAUCCAACUCCCAAUAUGGAAACAUUUCCACAUUUGCCAUAUGACAACUCAUUCUUAAUAGAAUCUUAUCUAUUCAUAAUAAUGUCGAUAUGGUCCAUCCAAUACCAUACUUCCAACUACUCACAAGCGACCAAUCCUCAGCGAACUUUGGAUCGUCCUUUGAUAGUUGUUUAAUUAUUUUAGUCAAAACCAAUUCUAGUCCUUUUUCCCUCUUAAUGCGCUAGACAUUUGGAAAAUUUUAGAAUGGUAAAAUAUUAUAGCAUUUGCAAUCGAUCCUAUACCCGAAGCGUAUGGGACACGAUGCAUAAUGUCUUACAUAAAGAUAUGAUACUUUACCAAUCUUUUGCCAUAAUAUUUUAUGUGUCAUGUUCUCACAAUUCGAACUAUGAAGAGGGAUGCCGUAAUCAUAAUCGAAUUUUAAGAACACACAAUGUAUCCUUUGACUGAAAAUAUUAAAAUUUCUCAAUCUAAGCUUUAGAUUUUGAAACGAAGUAUAAUAUUCUCUCCCUUAAUUAUAUUAAAACAACUUUUCAACCCAUGCAACUUUGCAAAUUGAAUCUUUGUUUUUCUAUAAUUAAUAUUGCUAACUUGCAAUACUCGCCAUAAUAAUCAUACAAGCAUAACACUUAUGCUCCCACUAUCAUGAUGAUUAUUAUCAUAUAAGCAUAACACUUAUGCUCCCACUAGCUUUGACAUGUAUUCAGAAAACAAAUGAACUUUCAGAAAACAAUGCCUAUUGAAUUUCUGAAAUUCAUAUUUCUAAUACCAGAUGCUUCGAUAAGCCUUUAUCUAGGCUUCUUAACCUUAUACACCUUUGUCUUAGAUAGCUCAUAUGUGUGUUUAAACAAUUCAGAACUUAUGUUACUAAGUUCCAAAUGUUGAAACUAAUUGCCAAAUCUCAUAAUUCGAACUAUGGAAAGGGAUGCCGUAACCAUAAUCGAAUUUGAGAAUACAAUUUUCACAAUUGCUAUCUUCUUAAAAUCUCUCUUAGUGAAAGCAUUUCCUCACAGUCAUUUUCAUGAAGGAGGGAAUCUUAUGACACUUAGAUUUUAUGGUGUAUGAGUUCCUAUCCAUGUGAAUUUGCCAAAACCAAGGUUUGCGACAAAUCCAAACUCAUAUGGACUGAACUUUCUUAAUCUUGAUUUCUUGCCUUAUGGUAACACGAGUGCCCACCAUGUCUUCCAAGUAGUUUAGUAACUUGUCCUUACAUAUCAAUGUACUUUCCAUCGACUAAGGCUCUAGUAUGCAUUCAAAUGAGAACUCAUAGAACUCACAUACGCAAUUAACUCAAUUGGAAUGGCACAAAAACAAAAUAAUGUCAGCACGAUAGGUUGCAAACCUCAAGUCGUGUGCUAGUGAUGAUCGAUAAGGUAUAUUCUUGAUUUGUUCUUGAAACCUUUCAAGACCAUUAAGACUCCCACUGACUCCUUGACAUAUAAGAUUCUCUUGUCAAGAAACAUUUCUUGACAAAGCAAAUAUUCAAGAGUUAGUGUAGUUCUUAUCAAGACAAAACACUUCACAAAUUGGUCCUAGUUGGUCUUUGUCUUAUCCAAGACAUCACAACUUACCAAUUUCUAAUGUGCAAGAAUAAGAAAACUUUUCCAAAUUCCACAUUUGAUGAGUGUUAUAAACCUACUUAAGACUUGUCACUCAAUGUCACAAUCUUGGAGUAUGACUCUAAGACUUGAUAUUGGAACGAAGUAUGAUUGACUCUUUGAUUUAACCAUUUCUACAAUUCUCGAUUCCUCUUCUUAGACAUGCAAAUGCACUAAGACUCACUUAGAGGAUCAAUUGAGAUAUGGUUCUUAAUCAUUAAGACUUCAUCAUAAAACACAAUAAAAGGUACUCUCCCUUCUUCUUAGAAUGGAGAAACUUUUAUCUUUCUGCCUUCUUGAUUCUUCUUAUUCGUUCUGCUAUUGAUUGAAACUAUUUCAGUUAACUCAGAAUUAUACUCAAUCUUAUAAGUAUAACCAUAUUUACUAAACUUUAGUAAAUCAUGACGAAUAUCUUUGUCACUCUUGUGGUAGACUUGAUCAACGUACGACCUAGUGUACUCGAUCUCCUAGUCCUUCAAUUGACACUUUGUCAAAGAAUUAGUCUAAAUUUCCCAAAUGUGAAAGUUUUUCAUUCAUCAUACAAUACACAUUGCAUGAUUCCAAGUUUCUGUCCAAUUGAAACUUGGGCGAUGAGAAACUCUCCCUAUUUGGUAAACUUUUGACAUUUCCACAAAUAACAUAAUUAAGAAUCAAAUCCAUUAUUGCUAAUAAUAGAAACAUUCAAACAUCAAUUUUUCAUACAUGCCAUUGCAAGGAUAAAUAAAUAAGAUAAAAUCAAAAUUCAUUUUAUUGCGGAAAAAAUUUGUCCUUACAAUGCAAUUCAAUUGAAAAACUAUGUUAUUACAUAUUUCUUAACAAUCUAUUCUAACUCCAAGUAGUAGCUCAAGAAUCCAUUCUUCAAGUAAUGCGAUCGAAAUCCAUUUCUUCAUGAUUAGAUUCAGCUCACUUCUUCCCUCAAGCUUCCUCUCUUUUCUUCGAUCCUACAAAACAUCAAAAUGUAAUCUUAUCACAUCAUGUAUUAAGAAUCUAGAAUAGGAACUCAAAAGAGUUAGAUAAUGGAUUUUACCUGAAGUAGAGCCAUACGUCUUGACUCUCCCAUCUCUUAGAUCUCUCAGGUAGUUAGGGCAACUUCGUCUCCAAUGCCCCUUCUCUUGGCAAUAAAAGCAAAUGGACUCCUUUGGCACAGCACAUCGGACAAUCACAGACUUAGUUCUUUCUGGACUUCCAAUGUUGCCAGUGUCCAUUGAAGUUUGGGAGUUUGAUUCACCAGACAAAUUUGCUUGACCAGCACGCCAAAUCAUUGCUGAUUCAGCAGCUAUAAGCAAAUAGGUGAGAUCAAUUAGGGUCACGUCGUGGUCCAUCAUAUAGUACUCUCUAACGAACUCACUAUAUGAUUCAGGAAGUGACUGAAGAACCCAGUCAACAGCCAACUCACUUGAAAUCUCGACACCCAACAUGCUUAACCUAUCAAUGUGUGACUUCAUCUCUAAGACGUGUGCACACACAGGUUUCCCAUCUUCGUGUUUACUUGCCAAAAGGGCUUGAGUGAGCUUGAACUUUUCAAGCCUUUGAACUUGUGGGUCAGGGAGAACAAUUGGAGGAGGUGGAGGAAGUGAAGCAUGACUCUCAUUUCCUUGAUCGUAUCUCGGAACGUCAUCUUCAUUUGGAAAGCUUGUUCCAAAGGAUUUGGGAAGACCAUUGUAAGAUUCAGACAUCUACAAAACGGGAGAAAAUUCAAGUUAUGUUGAUUAGAAUUCUUGAUGUAACACCCAAAUGAAACAUCAAGCUAGGAUCCAACACAAUACUCUACAACCUAGAAGAGGGAUGCCGUAAUCUAGUUGCAGAAUAUUUGAAGGUAGGUAAAUGACGAUUUACCAAUUUCCACCAUGAAAAACGAAAAGGAAGAUUAAGUUUUAAAUGAAUUGAAACUCCUAGAUCUUUUGAGAUUCAUUGAACUUUUCAAUGGCAUGUUUAAUCUCGAUUAUGCCCUACUAUUUGUGACUGGGAUGCCGAGGAUCACAAACAAGGUGUGAAUAACCAUACGAAUCACGUGGUGCACCCAAUGCUACAAUCACCUAAUCAAUGUGCCGGUUAGCCACACACGCUCCAUU
rnacentral:lncRNA from 1 species